UGGGGUGUCGUCAAGUGGUAAGACAGCAGGUUUUGGUCCUGUUAUUCGUGGGUUCGAAUCCUACCACCCCAA
rnacentral:tRNA from 1 species